AAGACGUAGCAAUACGUUUGUAAAGCGGCGAACGGGUGAGGAAUACAUGGGUAACCUACCCUCGAGUGGGGAAUAACUAGCCGAAAGGUUAGCUAAUACCGCGUACGCUCCUUGGACUUCGGUUCAGGGAGGAAAGCGAUACCGUGGGUAUCGCGCUCUUGGAUGGGCUCAUGUCCUAUCAGCUUGUUGGUGAGGUAACGGCUCACCAAGGCUUCGACGGGUAGCUGGUCUGAGAGGACGAUCAGCCACACUGGCACUGCGACACGGGCCAGACUCCUACGGGAGGCAGCAGUAAGGAAUAUUGCGCAAUGGGCGAAAGCCCGACGCAGCGACGCCGCGUGGGGGAUGAAGGUCUUCGGAUUGUAAACCCCUUUCGGGAGGGAAGAUGGAAUGGGGUAACCCAUUCGGACGGUACCUCCAGAAGCAGCCACGGCUAACUUCGUGCCAGCAGCCGCGGUAAUACGAAGGUGGCAAGCGUUGUUCGGAUUUACUGGGCGUACAGGGAGCGUAGGCGGUUCGGUAAGCCCUCUGUGAAAUCUCCAGGCUUAACCUGGAACAGUCGGGGGGGACUGCUGGGCUAGAGGACGGGAGAGGAGCGCGGAAUUCCCGGUGUAGCGGUGAAAUGCGUAGAGGUCGGGAGGAAGGCCGGUGGCGAAGGCGGCGCUCUGGAACGUUUCUGACGCUGAGGCUCGAAAGCGUGGGGAGCAAACAGGAUUAGAUACCCUGGUAGUCCACGCCUUAAACUAUGAAUACUAAGUGUCGGCGGGUUACCGCCGGUGCCGCAGCUAACGCAUUAAGUAUUCCGCCU
rnacentral:rRNA from 1 species